rnacentral:lncRNA from 1 species
UGGAUUAUUUCCAGUCUUCUGGUUUUGUAGAUAGUGCAGCAAAUUUGUUCACGUCAUUUUGUUUUCCUGAGGAAGAUUUGCCCUGAGCUAGCAUCUGUGCCAGUCUCCCUCUAUUUUGUAUGUGAGUUGCUGCCCCGGCAUGGCCGUUGAUGAGUGGUGUAGGUCUGCACCUGGGAACCAAACCCCGGCCACCGAAGUGGAGCAAGCCAAACUUAACCCCUAGGCCACGGAGCCGGCCCCUCGUUUUGAAUAUUUUGCUGGUAAUACACUCACGUGUUCAAAAUUCAAAGCCUUAAAAAUAAACAACCUUUCCUGUUCAAUAUGUAAACAAACAACCUCAUGCUCCCGACAGAAAAGCAGCAAGGACAUGAAAAGGCAAUUUGUGGAAAAAAAUGUGUUAAGAAUGUCACCCUUAGUGUUAUAAAAACUCUUCCACUGAGACCUGCUUGCCUGUCAUUUUGAGAUGUUUUUGAUGCACAGAAGUUUCAACUUUACUAAGCCGUAUUUUUCCCUGAAUGAUCUCUUCGCUGCCUGGAAAGCCAUUGCCCAUCCUGAGCAAUUUAUCCAGCUACUCUGAAAAAAUGGCCCUGUCAGGAGCCUUCUUUGGAGCAAAGUGUCUUUCCUCAAAAGAAACUCCAAAUGGCUCGCGGUGCACGGCAGGCUUCUGGCGUGUGCGCCUGAACAGGUCAGUGGGUCUGUCUGAGUGUGAGGGAGUGUGCAGAGUGUCUGGUGUGGGCCCUUGCUUUGUCUCUGAGUGUGUGGAUGUGUGUCUUUGUGCCCCUGUCUGUCUGAGACUGUGUGGGUUCAAGUGUUUGCCCCAGAAUCUAAGAGUUCUGCCUGGGUGUGUUUGGGUUACUUUUUCAAAAGGUCUUGGGGGUGGGCCUGGAUUAACUUUGCAUUCCCUCUGAUGGAGAUAAAUCAAAGUUGGGAAAGUAGGUUGUUGGCAGUUAAAGGCCUGGAGGAGGAGAUUUGAGGAAGCAGGGGAGGAGGGCAAAGGUUAAAAGGGGGGUGAUUGGCUUCAGGGCAAUGGGAGGCUUAGCCCUGGCCCGGGGACUGUAACUGAAAACCGGCGGAGGAAGGCUGCCUACACAGCCGGCCCGUCCGCGCUUGUUAAUUUUAUCGUUCCCGCUCUGUUUUCCUUCAGUACUGGCAGUAAACCUUUGGAGUGAAAAGGAUGCUCUGUGGGCUUGUUUCGGGAUGCUGUAAGAAAGGCGGGAGUCUGAGAAGACAUUUCCUGCUGCACAACCAGAUUUCUGAGAAAAGGAACCAAGAAGUGGGGGGUGGGAAGGGGGGUCAGGAGUCAGGCUGAGUGCUUGGGGUCUGCCAGAAGCAAAAAGAGGCCCUGAUGGGCUGGGGAAGUGCCUGGUGGUCUCUGUGGUACUCAGUCUCACCCCAUAGAUUGUCACUCUGACCCUGGCCAGUCAAUGAACCAAUCUGGGCUGAACAGGAGAGUCUGGAAGCCUCCAUCAGACCCCUCCCACUGUUGGAAAAGCUCCGGGUGCCCGUGGCCAACUGGCAUGGAGGGGACAGCCCUGAUGGCAGAUGUCUUUCUUAUCAUACCUAAAUGGCCCAGCAGUAGUAAUGGCAUAUUAGGGCGGUGGCUCCCAAGCCAAGUGCCUGAGGGACAGUGGCACUUAUUAGCUGAAACAAGAUGUCUUCACAGAGCUCAGUCCAAAUCUUGGCUGCGUUGUCUCAAUUUGCAGGAUAACAUUCAGAGUUUGGUUUCUCCAUCUUCAGUUUUCCUCCAACUGGAUUUCAUUAAGCCAUUGUUGCCUGCCGAACUAUAAGUUGACAUUUGUGUAAACAGAGAUAAAUAGACAAUUGUGCUUUCUUGAAAGCUUGUGUUUAUGGACUGGAGCUAUUGAGAUGGUGAUUUUGUCGGGCAUCCAUAACCUGGCUGUGAGGUGGGGCAGUCAGGGGAAGCCAUCCGUCCAUCAAUCUCAAGGUUUCUCUGGCCAGGUGACAUUCAUGGUCAACCCUUUGUCUCCCUGUGACCUAAGUGAAUUGACCUAGGGGCCUGCUUUUCUCUUUGGCUGGGGUGUGUGCAAGUGGGAGGAAGGUGAUGAGCAUGAGGAUGUCAAUCAGUUCUAUACUCUGGUGUCCAGUGAGGGAAUUCAAACUGGGCAGAGCCAGGGGUGGUGGAGAGGAGAGGCAUUUGAAAGGUCGAGAUUUGCCCCUUAGAUCUAAUGAUCUCCUUCGAAUGCCCUGUAUUCAGAUCAAGCCUGGGAGUGGUGUUUCCUUGGCCUCCACCCCCAGAGCCCCUCCGUUCCUCCUCUUUCCACUUUCUUCCCUCCCUCUGGACACCCUGGCCUUUCAAACUCCUUCUUGCAGUUGAAUUUGUUUCUAGGCUGGUGGCCGUCCUGUCCCUCAGUGGUGAGUGAGCCUCCCAGCCAGGUCUGCUUGGAAAUCUUUGGGGCAGGCUCAGUCGUCGUGUGGGUCAUAAGUCCAAGCCAUUCCUUCCCUCUCCUGUGGCACUGUGAAUAGGGAGAAGGGGGCAGCUUUGAGUCCGGGGGUUGGGACAGAAGAACCGAGGGGAUGAUCUUGUACUAUGGAAAGAGACUUACUUUAGAGUCUAAAAAGAGAAACGCCAGCUCACAGCCCUCACUAGCUUCAAUGAUCAAUUGCCUCCGUCUCUAACCAGCAGAGCUGUCUGAACGUUAGGCUCCCAUAGCCUUUCCCUCCUGCUUGACUGUAAGUUGUACGAAGCAGUCUUCUCUCGCUGUGGCCUUGGGGUUAUCUCCACACCCAAGCUCUCUUUUCUAAGGAUGUUGCUCUCACCUCCCACCUUGGCUGCUGCAGGCCGGGGAAAGGGCCAUCCUGCUGAGCACACACAUCAUGGAGCCAAAUUUUCUCACUGGCAAAAUUGUUCUCAGGUCCUAAAUUGAGGAUUCACAAACUCCACUGUCCACAGAGACCCGGAACAUCAUGUAAGGAGAGAAGAGGCCGAACCCAGGAGACAUGGAAAGUGGCACUGGGCUGCAGGGUUGGGGAGCAGUGUGGAGUGGUGGGGACCACGGCUAUGGGAGAGCACGUGCUCCAUCCCAUCCACAGGGGCGACCCCCUUCUCGGCAGGAAGGGGUUGCAAUAGGGGAAUGCCAGCCCAGAGAAGCCAGUUUUUCUAUUUUCAAAUCUGGACUUUUCUGUGAACUCUCCUAAUGUUACGUGUUGGCAACAAAUUCCAAUUUAAAACAUGCUGUGGGCCAAGCAAAACAUGUGUGCUGGCCCGUUGUGGCUAGUUUGCUCCUCUGCUGUUGUGAAAUGUGGUGGAGCUGUCGUUCUGCAUGUUUGGAGAUGUGCACCAAGACUUCCGGGCCCUCAGCCCUGAACAAAUUUAGGAAUCCGUGCAUCAGGUGCUGUGCGGGCUCACCCCUGUGCUAACAAGUCGAACACCUAGCCCAUUUCCUGAUAGCUGGGUGUUUAGCCUAACUUGUCGUGGAGUAGCAUAGAUUUGCUUUUUCUCCAGGGAGGGACACAUACCCCUGUUCUUUCACUGAGCAUGGUCCUCUGGAUGGCCUCUUGGCCUCGGGCAGCCUGGCCAGGGAGGACAGGCAGUGGCCGCCCUGGGUCAGGGCGCCUUAUCCAGGCAGGUGAUGGAUGGAUGUCCAGGACAGCUUCCAGGUUUCUUGUUUGUGCAAUGCGGGGAUGUGGGGCCUCCACAGAGAGAGGGGAUACAAGAGAGUCAUUGAGUUUUGGGGGAAGAUCAUGAAAUCUCGGGGUUUGCCCUGUUUUCCCAGGCUGGAAGGAGGGGGUGCACAGCUUUGGGCCUGGGACAUGGCAUGGUGAGUAUGGGCUCAGCUUCUCCCCAUGUGUAGCCUCCAGGUGGCACUGGGAUUCUGGGCUCAGCCUGGCUCCCCAAGGACAGCCUGGCAAUGAUCGCCAAGCUCAGGGGGGACACUCACAAUGGUCUCAGGGUGGCUGGGGCUUCAGGGAUCAUCUAGUGAUGUGGAAAGAGCUUGCAUCUCAGCUCUGCACUUUAUUAGCAUGUGACCUUAGGCAAUGAUGUCACCUCCUGGGUGUCAGUCCCUUGUCUGUAGAAGGGUCUGGCCAGUUGAUCUCUAGCCUCUAAGUGGCCUCCAGGUUCUCUGACAAUGACUCUGCUGCUGGCUGCUGCCAUAGCUCAGUUUGACACAUCUUUUAGAGCAAGGAUGGGACUGUUGCUUCACUACCAGCUCCCCGGUGACUGGCAAGGCACAAGGCACAUAGCAGGUGUUUAAUAUACGUUUGUUGAAUGAAUGAGCGAGACCAAAUCCCUGGCAGCAGGGAACCAGGCAGGCAGAAGACCCCUGGGGCAAAGGAAACUCUUGCUGUACCUUCAUCCCAGCUUCUGGUGGCAGGUGAGAGGCAGGACACUGCAGGCCAAGGGCCACUCAAGCCUUGAGGCUGGAGCCCAUCUCCUAGCCUAGAAUCUUCUAUAGCCUGGCUCAUGGGUGCCGUUGGCUGGGCUGUUGGAAUCCUGCCCCCACCCCUGGUCCUGCCCCACCUUCUCGCAGAACUGCCCACAGUGACAACAUAAGUCCCCCGAUAUCUCUGAAUGCUUAAAGUUUUAAAAAUGCAGACCUUUGGAGAUGUUGUGGGGAGCAGCUGGGCUCCAGGCCAGGCCAGGCUGGCAUGUUGGAGAAUGAGUCUUCAGCAGGCCGCUCUGAGGAACCACUUCUGCUGCUGGAGGCAGGAAAGGAGCGGGGCCUAGGCCUAGACUCCUAGUUCUCGGAGGAGUUGGAGCAGAAGCAGGCGAUGGCUGUGCCCUGGCCCACUCUGGGUGGCUUUGUGGUUUGUGGCUGUAGCUGUGGUCCACGCCUGGGUUCUGGGCCAGCAGAGAUGUAUGGAGCCCCUCGUUUAUCUGUGAGACCUGUAUGGAGGGAAGGACGGUCUGGGGUGUGUGAGGAUUGGGCUGGCUGUCUAUAGGGUGACAGUAGAGCUCUGGGAUCUCAGGCAGAAAUCUCGGGGUACAUCCCCUCACUCCAGCCUCAAGCACAGUGGAGACUUCAUAGGUGCUUGCUGUCACCCUCACUGAGUGCCAAGCCCUGCUCUGGGGCAGCGAGAGGUGUCCUGGGGUGCCUCGCCAGCCCUUCCCACCCUCAUCCCCGCGUGCAAUAGGGGGAGGUGAGGGGCCCAGGCUCGGCUGUAGGGGCUUUUCUCUCCCCAUGGGUGUUGCUCCAAGAGCCCCCGAGUCAUCGGAAAGCUCCUUGAAGACUUUGGAGCUGGGGCAUACUGGAGGUGAAGCUGGAAAAUUUUCUGAAAUCUUUCACACUCUUCAGCUCUCAUUCUCCUAAAAAUACUAUUAUUAUAAACUCAUUCGAUAUGCAGAAACAAAGAGUGAUAUGAUGAACACAAACCAUUUGAGAAAUAAAAUGACAAAUCCCAUCAAAGCCCUCCGUGAGCACCUUGCUUCCCCUGCACCCCACCCCCUCCCAUGGGUAACCGCUGUCCUAUACUUGAUAUUUUUCAAUCUCAUGAAUUGCUUUAACUUUUUACUAUAUAUGAAAGUUUUCUUGAAGUGUUUACAGAGCUGUUUUGCAUGCUUUUAAACUGUAGAAAUAGUGUAAUUCUAAUUUGUAUUCUUGUGCAAUUAGUUUUUUUCCUCUUGACAUGUUUAUGGGAGUCCAGGGUGUGGACAUGUGUUACUCUGGCUCAUUUAUUUUCGACGCUGCAUAGAAUUCCAUUGCAUGACUGUGUCAUCUCUCCAAGGAGGGCUCCUCACGGCCCCCUGAGAGGGUGGCUGUGCUCACUGAGGGUACUCUCUUGUGCAAGGAUGGCUCUGGUUCUGUGGAUGCUCUCCACCUUCAUCUCCCCCACCCCUCUUUAGGGUGCCAGGGUCCUCCCCUCCCUCCCAGAACCAUUGCUUCACGAAGGAGGAAUUUGAGUGGAUUUCAGGCCACCUUGUGUUUCCCAUAAGUAACCGUUGAAAGUGAAACCCCAGCCCAAGGGGCUGCAAUUGCAACCAGCUGAGUGCAGACUGGCUGGCCUGGAAGGAAGGAGUUGUGCGCUCCAGAUGGACAUGAGUCUCCGAAAGGGACACGCCAGCAAGAUCUUCUCCAGCACCAAGGGGAGACACUUGGGGCAGCCGCAGCCCCUAGCCAAGCCCCUGCAUUGACCCUGGCUUGAGGCCCACCCACCUCUCUGUUGCUUGGCCCAGUGGCCUCCAGGGUGGGUUUUGCUGAAUGUAGGGCUGUUGUCGUUCCAGCUUUGGGAGGGGCAGUGAGGUUCUGGGACCUGCUGAAGGCAGCCUGUCCUGAGAGGCUUACAUUUCAGACCCUUGAAGAGAGAGACAGCGUGCCCCUACUCUAGUCCAGACCCCAGCACUGGAUGCCCCGCUGCACCCUGAGUGCCCGGGGCUGCAUUCUGACUUUUGGGGGCCUAGGAACUUUUGCUUUUGUGGGACUCUUCCUCCAUAAAAAAAUAUUAAAAAUCUUGCUUUAUGACUGUGCUGGUAUAAAGAGGAAUGUAAUCGAGGCUGGAUUUAUUAUUAUAUAUUCAUUAUAUUAUUAUAUUUGUUUUUAUCUUCUCAUUUAAAAAGAAAUGAAAACAUUUUGGGGAGCCCCUUAAAGAACCGUGGGCCCUGGGCCCUGUGCCUGCUGGGGCUGAUGGAGAAGAUGGCCCUAAUGGCUGCCACGCAGCCUCUCACACCCUCCCUUUACCGAGAUUGCGACCCCUCUCUCCUCCAGGACACCUUCCCUGCUUGAUUGAAGGGGAGGUGGACAUGGCCUCGCUCAGCCUCAGACUCCGUGGGCCUCUCCUCCCAUCACAGGGGCCUGGGGGCCAAGUGAAUGGAGGCUUUGCGUGCAUGGCCUGCCUCCUGGAGGUGGAGGGCAGCCGGAGUUGCUCUGCACGGGGCCCAGCUUGGAGGCACGGGGCACAUCCUUCACGGGGCCAUUGUUCCGUGUUAGGUGGGUGGUGGGGAGCUGUCCCUGGAGGACCCCGCACGUUUCCAGAUCACCCUGUGCCAGUAUUGUUAGAGGACUGUGGCCUGUGGGACGCGCCCCAGUGCUUGUCCAACAUGAAGGUAUGAUCCCUCCAUGUGCCAUCAAUGGUCCUCUCUCCCAGGGGGUUAUUUUGAGGGAGGCCCUGUGUCUGUCUUGGAGAUGAGGGAAUGGGGCAAUUACAGUACUGAGGAAGGGGCUGCCUUAGUCAGCUCGGGCUGCCACAGCAAAGUACCACUGACUAGGUGGCUUAAACAGCAGAACUGUAUUUUCUCCUGAUUCUAGAAGCUAGCAGUCCAAGAUCAAGGUGCCACCCAAGAGGUUUGGUUUCUCUGAGGCCUCUCUCCUUGGCUUGCAGGUGGCCAGCCUCGUGCUGCCUCUUCUCAUGGUCACCUCUCUGUGCGUGUGCAUCCCUGGUGACUCUCUGGGUCCAAAGCUCUUCUCACAAGGACACCAGUCGGAUUGGGUUAGGCCCCACCCAAAGGGCCGCAUUUUAGCUUAAUUACCUUUUUAAAGACCCUGUCUUCAAAUCCAGUCAUUUUCUAAGGUGGUGGGGGUUAGGGCUCCAACGUAUGAAUUUUAGGGGACCCAAUUCAGCCCGUAACAAGGGUGAUGGAGGCCACAUGUGGGGCCGCACAGGAUUGCACAAGGGCACCACCCUGAAAGAGGUGCUAUUCAUAUCAUAGGUACUUUUAUUAUUUGGAAAUCUUUUUCGUAUUUUUAUAACAAUUUUGUUGACUCCAAAGGUGGGCAAUUUGUGCAUUUCUUAUGGCAGACUUCCUGCAGAUGGCAGUAUAAAGUUCUUAUUCUAACACUAUCUUAGGAUAAUUUCCUGACUGAAGGAAAGAAAGUAUCUCAAGAAAGGAACAUCUUUUUCUACACAGGCGCCAUAUAUUUGGCCUGGCAGUGGCUGGCCACGUGACUGUCCAGGGCUCAGGUCUGGCUUGGAUGGGGCAUGUGACCUGGGUUAGCAGGGUCACGUGACUGUCAUAAUUUGGUGGACUGAGUUUAGGGAGGGGGGUCAUGUGACUCCAACAGCCUUGCAGACUGGGCUAGUCAUGUGACUAUGGCCUCUCUUGGUCUUGUAAUGACCAUGUUCCUUCAAACAUUGAUAGAACCUACUCUUAAAGCUUGCCCAGUCUAUGAAGGAAAUAGGACGAGUGGUCUGUUUCUGUUCUGAUCACCCAGAAACAGCCUGGGAGCCCUAAGGCCAAAGCUGGCAUGACCACCCCAUCUUCCUCCCUACCCAAGACACUUCUGGAACCCACGACCUCUGCUAGAGAGCUCUAUCUCGUUGCCUAUCUCAUUGGUCUGUGCACAGGGCCAUCUGGGUUCCUGAUAUCCCCAAAUUCAGGGGCCGGCUGGCACAGGGGAGGUUGGGUGAAGAGAAGUAAGAGGGAGGGGAGUCAGUGAGGCCAGGAGAGUUGCAGAGGGGCCACUGGGGCCAUGGGGGUCAGGGCUCCUGGCUGGGGCUGAGAAGGGGACUCUGCC